ensembl:lncRNA
CAGAGCCUAGGGGUGGUGGGCCGGGGGCUUGUUGUUCUUCUGGUGGCAUCUGGUCGCAACAGGGGAGUGGGUCACAGUGAUCAAGAGGCGCCACCGAGCAAAGACAGAGGCGGCUCUGAGCAGAGCCAGGGGCUCACGAAGAAAUGACGAGAUGACGGCUCCCGGAACGGAGCGCAGAGAUUGGAAAAAACAAAGCAGUUUCUUACACAGCUGAACGUUGUCUCAACAGAGGACCCAGAAAUCGUGCUCCUUGGUAUUUACUCAAAGGAGUGGAAAACUCAUGUCCACACCAAAGCCUGCACAUGGAUGCUUACAGCAGCUUUAGCCAUACUUGCCAGACCUUGGAAGCAGCCAAGGUGUCCUUCCAUAGGUGAGCGGAUAAAUAAACUGCAGUCCAUCCAGACAAUGAAAUACUACUCAGCGCUAAAAAGAAGGAGCUCUCAAGUCGUGAAAAGACAUAGAGGAAACCCAGGUGCAUAUUACUAAGUGAAAGAAGCCUAUCUGAAAAGGCCACGUACAGCAUGGUCCCAACUGGAUGACAUUCCGGAAAACGCAAAACUAUAGGGACAGUCAAAAGGCCAGGAGCUGGCAGGGGUUGGGGGGUGAUGCACAGAUGGUCAGGGCGGUGGUGGCAGCUGCCAGCCCAAGGGCUCGGUCCGGGUGUCAGAGGACAGAGGUGGUGGAGGAGUCCGGUGGGCCCUCCUGGGCUGCACCCACAGGAGGGGACUCCCUCCAUCGUCUGUCUCUGGGCCACGCCUGGGCAUGCGGGUUGCAUCUGGUUGGAUAAUAAGAUCGAGAAGACCUGCUUGCACGUCCCCCUCCCCUGGAGCCAGAAUAAAGCUCCCCCUGGAGGGGCCUUUCAGGGACAAGACACAUUCCCACGGGACCCGUUCCUGGCCCUCUGUCCAAAUGCAGGUUGUCGGUGACCUGACCCAAGGGACAGCCCACUCUGUUAUCAGCCACCAGCCCGGCAUUGUGGCGGCUUAUCAGAGCCGCUCCGGUUACCCACGGGGAGAGCCUGGUGGCCGCCCGCUCUAUCCUCCCAGCCUGCCCGCCUGGCCCGGCCUCAGGGGCCCCUCCUCUCCAGCUGUCGGUCCAGCGGCAUCACCCACAGCCUCCUGGAGCCCUGGGGUUCUGCGAAGGUGCCCAGAGACCAUCUUUCAGGGGCAGGGGCAGGAGGGGCUCCAGACCCCCAAUUCCCUUCGUAACCAUUACACCGGGAGACCUUGCAGGGUUUCUCUGAGAAAUGACUCCGGCUCCAACACGAUGAACCUUGAGGAUAUUAUGCUAAGUGAAGUAAGCCACACACAAACACAGAAACCGUAUGAUCCCA